rnacentral:rRNA from 1 species
UGAGGAAUAUUGGGCAAUGGGCGCAAGCCUGACCCAGCCACGCCGCGUGUGUGAUGAAGGCCUUCGGGUCGUAAAGCACUGUGGGGAGGGAUGAACCUGUGCACGAGGAAAUGCGUGCGCACUGACAGUACCUCCUUAGCAAGCACCGGCUAACUCUGUGCCAGCAGCCGCGGUAAUACAGAGGGUGCGAACGUUGCACGGAUUUACUGGGCGUAAAGCGCGUGUAGGCGGACUCGCAAGUCGGUUGUGAAAUCCCUGGGCUCAACCUAGGAACUGCAUCCGAAACUGCUUGUCUUGAGUAAUGGAGAGGGUGGCGGAAUUCCCGGUGUAGAGGUGAAAUUCGUAGAUAUCGGGAGGAACAUCAGUGGCGAAGGCGGCCACCUGGACAUUCACUGACGCUGAGACGCGAAAGCGUGGGGAGCAAACAGGAUUAGAUACCCCCGUAGUCC